rnacentral:rRNA from 1 species
UACGGAGGGUGCGAGCGUUGUUCGGAAUUACUGGGCGUAAAGGGCGCGUAGGCGGCCUUAUAAGUCAGAUGUGAAAGUCCAUGGCUCAACUGUGGAAGUGCAUUUGAAACUGUGAGGCUUGAGUAUCGGAGGGGAGUGUGGAAUUCCCGGUGUAGAGGUGAAAUUCGUAGAGAUCGGGAGGAACACCGGUGGCGAAGGCGACACUCUGGACGAAUACUGACGCUGAGGCGCGAAAGCGUGGGGAGCAAACAGG